rnacentral:rRNA from 1 species
UGGGGAAUAUUGCACAAUGGGCGCAAGCCUGAUGCAGCCAUGCCGCGUGUAUGAAGAAGGCCUUCGGGUUGUAAAGUACUUUCAGCGGGGAGGAAGGGAGUAAAGUUAAUACCUUUGCUCAUUGACGUUACCCGCAGAAGAAGCACCGGCUAACUCCGUGCCAGCAGCCGCGGUAAUACGGAGGGUGCAAGCGUUAAUCGGAAUUACUGGGCGUAAAGCGCACGCAGGCGGUUUGUUAAGUCAGAUGUGAAAUCCCCGGGCUCAACCUGGGAACUGCAUCUGAUACUGGCAAGCUUGAGUCUCGUAGAGGGGGGUAGAAUUCCAGGUGUAGCGGUGAAAUGCGUAGAGAUCUGGAGGAAUACCGGUGGCGAAGGCGGCCCCCUGGACGAAGACUGACGCUCAGGUGCGAAAGCGUGGGGAACAAACAGG